ensembl:lncRNA
GUGUGUGUAUAUAAGAUGUGUGUAUAUGAGUGUUUUACGUGUGUAUGUAUGAGUGUGUGUGUAUAUAAGAUAUGUGUAUAUGAGUGUUUUGCGUGUGUAUGUAUGAGUGUGUGUUUAUAUAAGAUGUGUGUAUAUGAGUGUUUUACGUGUGUAUGUAUGAGUGUGUGUGUAUAUAAGAUGUGUGUAUAUGAGUGUUUUAGUGUGUGUGUAUAUGAGUGUUUUACGUAUGUGUGUAUGUAUGAGUGUGUGUAUAUAAGAUGUGUGUAUGUAUGAGUGUGUGUGUAUAUAAGAUGUGUGUAUGUAUGAGUGUGUGUGUAUAUGAG